UACGUAGGGGGCAAGCGUUGUCCGGAAUCAUUGGGCGUAAAGAGCGUGUAGGCGGCCCGGUAAGUCCGCUGUGAAAGUCCAGGGCUCAACCCUGGGAUGCCGGUGGAUACUGUCGGGCUCGAGUCCGGAAGAGGAGUGUGGAAUUCCGUGGUGUAGCGGUGAAAUGCGCAGAUAUCAGGAGGAACACCAAUAGCGAAGGCAGCUCGCUGGGACGGUACUGACGCUAAGGCGCGAAAGCGUGGGGAGCGAACGAGG
rnacentral:rRNA from 1 species